CCUGGCCUUGACAUACUAAGAACUUUCCAGAGAUGGAUUGGUGCCUUCGGGAACUUAGAUACAGGUGCUGCAUGGCUGUCGUCAGCUCGUGUCGUGAGAUGUUGGGUUAAGUCCCGCAACGAGCGCAACCCUUUUCCUUAUUUGUCAGCGGGUUAAGCCGGGAACUUUAAGGAUACUGCCAGUGACAAACUGGAGGAAGGCGGGGACGACGUCAAGUCAUCAUGGCCCUUACGGCCAGGGCUACACACGUGCUACAAUGGUCGGUACAAAGGGUUGCUACCUCGCGAGAGGAUGCUAAUCUCAAAAAGCCGAUCGUAGUCCGGAUCGCAGUCUGCAACUCGACUGCGUGAAGUCGGAAUCGCUAGUAAUCGCGGAUCAGAAUGCCGUGGUGAAUACGUUCCCGGGCCUUGUACACACCGCCCGUCACACCAUGGGAGUUUGUUGCACCAGAAGUAGGUAGUCUAACCGCAAGGAGGACGCUUACCACGGUGUGGCCGAUGACUGGGGUGAAGUCGUAACAAGGUAGGCGUAGAUGA
rnacentral:rRNA from 1 species